CGACGUUUCCCCCUCCCACUCCAGCACCAAUGAAGCAUCUGUUAUGAACACGCGACUUAACGUAGAGGACACUUGCCACCUGUACGCACUGUUAAGGAAAAAAGGGGAAGUUCAAAAGGCUUUCCAGCAAUGACUACCUGCCCAGGAGAACAUGCUCCUCACGAAGGACCUCCCGCACCCGUCCCCAGAAGAGGAGAAGAGAAAGCACAAGAAGGAGCGCCUGGCGCAGAGCCCCAGCUCCUACAUCAUGGACAGUGGUUUUGUGUGUGGGCUGCUCCACUGUCCUGUACCAACCCACAGGAGGAACAGCCAAGCUUACAGAAGGAUGCUCCUUUAGUACCAAAAUCACCCCGAAUCAUCAUGCAUGGAAACUAUUCCAAUAAACAGAUUUUAGAUU